rnacentral:rRNA from 1 species
UACGGGGGGAGCAAGCGUUGUUCGGAUUUACUGGGCGUAAAGGGCGCGUAGGCGGCGUGACAAGUCACUUGUGAAAUCUCUGAGCUUAACUCAGAACGGCCAAGUGAUACUGCAGUGCUAGAGUGCAGAAGGGGCAAUCGGAAUUCUUGGUGUAGCGGUGAAAUGCGUAGAUAUCAAGAGGAACACCUGAGGUGAAGACGGGUUGCUAGGCUGACACUGACGCUGAGGCGCGAAAGCCAGGGGGGCAAACGGG